AAAAUUGUCUAUUUUUAAUAAAUAUAUAUUAUAUUUAUUUUUAAUAUUAAAAUAGGUUUUUCUUUCGGUGGAAAAUGUUUGAAGCUUUUUGGAUAUUAUAGACAACUAAUUGGCACCUGGGAGCGUGACGGAAAUGUCAAGGUACUUAUAGUUGCAGGUAAACAUACCCUAAAUCAUGAGCAAUGGGCCAGAAGUGCUUUUCGUGACUGACCUCACUUUUCGUAAAACUGCAACACACGAAGUCAUAAAAGUUCCAAUUUUCCGCUCUCAAGCAGAUUGCAGUCUACAUCAGAUAAACGCUGAGAUAGAAGACGUUUAUAAGGGAUGCUGAAUAAAACCAGAGAGAGGGGCAGGAAUCGUGGGUUGGUGUGCUUGAUGGAGCUUUAAACUAAAUUAGCCGCCCAUGCCUCGGGCCGACGAUCUCGAAGCAUCCUCAUCUCUCGGCUUCCAUUAUGUUUGUCUUUGUAUGCUAAACAUUUUCCAGAAAUUAUUAUCUACACGUCUUUUGUGAAAUAAACAAAAAAAAAAAAAAAACAUCGUCAUUUUCAUUUCAAAGCAAAAAUUUACAUAUUAUCAUUAUUCUUCUUACUAGUAAGAAAAAAAAAACGAUAAUUUUCUUUUCUUUUAGAAAA